AUUCUUGUUUCUUCAUUAUUUUGUUUUAGAUCUCGGGCAUUUAUUUUAUUCCCUUAAAAUUUUUCCCUAUUAUAAAAAAUAAAGCAAUAACUUCCUUUGUAUUGCUUGGAGGGGAUUGUUUCUAUAUAUUUAGAUAUCGAUACAUCUGCCAGACUGGUAUUAUUAUUGCCGGGUUGUAUAUUUGCUGUUUUUCUAAAAAUUAGUAACUACAUAUCAUGUAUGGUCUAGGUGAAUAAAGUGAUAUACAUGAUGGAUAGCAGUUGGGUGCGACUUCGUAAUAGAUUAAGUGAAGAAUAUUUAGAUGGUAUUAAUUCAUUUAUGGAGGUAGCCAAACAAUGUCUGGAUGAGAACAAUGAGGUUCGCAGUCCAUGUCAAAAUUGUCAAAAGGCAUUCUUUCAGUCACUAGAUGUGGUAGAAUCUCACUUAUACCACUCUGGAAUCUCCGCAAGUUACGAGAGAUGGAUUUUUCAUGGAGAGGAACUUGAGAAUAAUAUGGAGGGUGUUGAAAGAAAUACAUUUGAAUUUGACGAAGAAGAAAAGAAUGAUGAGAGGAAUGAUAUGUUAGAAGAUCUAUGUGCUCCCAUGUCAUCCAAAGCUAACUAAACUCGGGAGGAGGAAGAACAUGGAGGAAAUCAUAAUUUCUCGCCUCAAAUGCCUAAUGAAGAUAGCAACCAGUUUGUGGAGAUGAUAAAUGAAGCCUAAUGAACUUUGUUUCCUGGCUCUGAAAUGUCAUUAUUGAACUUUAUGGUGAUAGUGAUAUCAGAAUUCUCAUUUAACCAAAGAACAUAUUGAUGGCAAAUCGGAAGCAUAUCUUGGAGUCAAGAAUAUUUUUUGGGUGUCCAGUGAGUUUUUUUGUUAUUUCUUUCACAUUUCUAGUUCUAUUUUCUAAUUUUCAAGUUUGUUGAAUCAUUCAAAGUAGUUCGACCUUGAAAUCACUAGUACUAUAGUUUAUUCGUAUUUGUUUUGAUUUUGGAGGUAACCAAGUUUGUAGAUAGUACCUUGAUUAUUUGGUUGACAACGAUAUGAUUUUGCUUUCUAUUUUGA